rnacentral:rRNA from 1 species
UACGAAGGGGGCUAGCGUUGUUCGGAAUUACUGGGCGUAAAGCGCGCGCAGGCGGCCUUCCAAGUCAGGGGUGAAAGCCCAGAGCUCAACUCUGGAACUGCCUUUGAAACUGCUAGGCUUGAGUACGGGAGAGGUGAGUGGAAUUCCCAGUGUAGAGGUGAAAUUCGUAGAUAUUGGGAAGAACACCGGUGGCGAAGGCGGCUCACUGGCCCGUAACUGACGCUCAGGCGCGACAGCGUGGGGAUCAAACAGG